UACGGAGGGUGCAAGCGUUAUCCGGAUUCACUGGGCUUAAAGGGUGCGUAGGUGGGCUGGUAAGUCAGUGGUGAAAUCUCCAGGCUUAACUUGGAAACUGCCAUUGAUACUAUCAGUCUUGAAUACCGUGGAGGUCAGCGGAAUAUGUCAUGUAGCGGUGAAAUGCUUAGAUAUGACAUAGAACACCAAUUGCGAAGGCAGCUGGCUAGACGAAUAUUGACACUGAUGCACGAAAGCGUGGGGAUCAAACAGG
rnacentral:rRNA from 1 species